rnacentral:rRNA from 1 species
AGAGUUUGAUCCUGGCUCAGGAUGAACGCUAGCGACAGGCUUAACACAUGCAAGUCGAGGGGCAGCAGGGGAGUAGCAAUACUCCCGCUGGCGACCGGCGCACGGGUGAGUAACACGUAUGCAACCUGCCCUUGUCAGGGGGAUAAGCGGAAGAAAUUCCGUCUAAUACCGCAUAAUGCUGCGGGGAGACAUCUCCCUGCAGCCAAAGAUUUAUCGGACAAGGAUGGGCAUGCGGCGCAUUAGCUUGUUGGCGGGGUAACGGCCCACCAAGGCGACGAUGCGUAGGGGUUCUGAGAGGAAGGUCCCCCACACUGGUACUGAGACACGGACCAGACUCCUACGGGAGGCAGCAGUGAGGAAUAUUGGUCAAUGGCCGGGAGGCUGAACCAGCCAAGUCGCGUGAGGGAAGACGGUCCUAUGGAUUGUAAACCUCUUUUGUCAGGGAGCAAAAACUGCCACGUGUGGCAGGAUGAGAGUACCUGAAGAAAAAGCAUCGGCUAACUCCGUGCCAGCAGCCGCGGUAAUACGGAGGAUGCGAGCGUUAUCCGGAUUUAUUGGGUUUAAAGGGUGCGUAGGCGGACAGUUAAGUCAGCGGUAAAAUUGAGAGGCUCAACCUCUUCCCGCCGUUGAAACUGAUUGUCUUGAGUGGGCGAGAAGUAUGCGGAAUGCGUGGUGUAGCGGUGAAAUGCAUAGAUAUCACGCAGAACUCCGAUUGCGAAGGCAGCAUACCGGCGCCCAGCUGACGCUGAAGCACGAAAGCGUGGGUAUCGAACAGGAUUAGAUACCCUGGUAGUCCACGCAGUAAACGAUGAAUACUAAUUGUUCGGGUCAAAUGAGAUCUGAGUGAUACAGCGAAAGCGUUAAGUAUUCCACCUGGGGAAUACGCCGGCAACGGUGAAACUCAAAGGAAUUGACGGGGGCCCGCACAAGCGGAGGAACAUGUGGUUUAAUUCGAUGAUACGCGAGGAACCUUACCCGGGCUCAAACGACACAGGAAUGAUCUGAGAAAUCAGGCAGUCCUCCGGGACCUGUGUCGAGGUGCUGCAUGGUUGUCGUCAGCUCGUGCCGUGAGGUGUCGGCUUAAGUGCCAUAACGAGCGCAACCCCCAUCGACAGUUGCCAGCAGGUCAAGCUGGGCACUCUGUCGAGACUGCCGGCGCAAGCUGUGAGGAAGGCGGGGAUGACGUCAAACCAGCACGGCCCUUACGUCCGGGGCGACACACGUGUUACAAUGGCAGGUACAGCGGGAAGCCACCCGGCGACAGGGAGCGGAACCCGAAAGCCUGUCUCAGUUCGGAUUGGAGUCUGCAACUCGACUCCAUGAAGCUGGAUUCGCUAGUAAUCGCGGAUCAGAACGCCGCGGUGAAUACGUUCCCGGGUCUUGCACACACCGCCCGUCAAG